rnacentral:Y_RNA from 1 species
GGCUGGCCCAAAGGUGGUGAGUUAUCUCACUUGAUUGUUCACAGUUACAGAUUGAACUCCUUGUUCUACUCCCCUUCUCAAACUGCACUUGACUAGUCUUAA